CCGGCACGGGUGAGUAACACGUAUCCAACCUGCCGAUAACUCGGGGAUAGCCUUCUGAAAGGAAGAUUAAUACAAGAUGGCAUCAUGAGUCCACAUGUUCACAUGAUUAAAGGUAUUCCGGUAGACGAUGGGGAUGCGUUCCAUUAGAUAGUAGGCGGGGUAACGGCCCACCUAGUCUUCGAUGGAUAGGGGUUCUGAGAGGAAGGUCCCCCACAUUGGAACUGAGACACGGUCCAA
rnacentral:rRNA from 1 species